rnacentral:rRNA from 1 species
UACGACUACAUAUCAGGCAUAUCAAUAAGCGGAGGAAAAGAAACUAACAAGGAUUCCCUUAGUAACGGCGAGUGAAGCGGGAAGAGCUCAAAUUUGAAAUCUUCAAGGUUUUACCUUGACGAAUUGUAGUUUAAAGAAGUGUUUUCUGUUGAAGUUUUGGUAAAAGUUCUUUGGAAUAGGACAUCAUAGAGGGUGAGAAUCCCGUAUUUGACCAUUAUUUUCAGCUGUGUGAUACACUUUCAAAGAGUCGGAUUGUUUGGGAAUGCAGUCCAAAAUGGGUGGUAAAUUUCAUCUAAAGCUAAAUAUUGGCGAGAGACCGAUAGCGAACAAGUACCGUGAGGGAAAGAUGAAAAGAACUUUGAAAAGAGAGUUAAACAGUACGUGAAGUUGUCAAAAGGGUAGCGUUUGACACCAGUGUUGUUUUCUCGAAAAUCAAUUAAAAAAGGCAGGAUUUUGUGUUGUAUUGACUUUAUCAGCUUUCUGCACUCUUUUCUUGUCUUUUUUAAUGCACUUUUCGUUUAACAAGUCAACAUCAAUUUCUUUUGUUGUAAAAGGGUCAUUGGAAGGUGGCUUUCUUUUCGGAGAAAGUGUUUAUAGCCUUUGGCCUCUGCAAUCGGAGAGAUUGAGGUCUGCAGCGUAGAUCCUUCGGGGUUAGAUACAUUUGUGCUAAGUUAUAGCCUUUCAUAGACAGCUUGUUGACUAUGAUCAGUCAUGUAGCUUACUCGCUUAUGCUAUUUUACCUACGCUUAGGAUGUUGAGCGCAUGUCUCUCUCU